AUAAAAUUUUGUGAAAUUUGAACAAAAUCUGUAUUUCAGUUAAUAAAUUUUCUAGACCUUUAGCAGUAAUACUAGAUCUCAAAAUACAUGGCACUAUAUCAAAGUUUUUAGUGAACAUAAAUUAGAAAUCUAGCAUUCUAUUCAUACU